rnacentral:tRNA from 1 species
GCUCACAUGGCGGAAUGGUAGACGCGCUAGCUUGAGGUGCUAGUAUCCACUAAAUCGGAUGUGCUGGUUCGAGUCCAGUUGUGAGCA